rnacentral:rRNA from 1 species
GACGAACGCUGGCGGCGUGCUUAACACAUGCAAGUAGAACGGAGAGGCGCUGCGUUUGUGGGGUGCGCGAGAGGCGAGCGGGUGAGUGAAACGUGAAUAACAUGUGCCUGGUUGUGGGGGAACUUCAGGGAAAACGGUAUAAUACCGGACAUGAGCUUCUGCUGCACGGUGGGGUUUGGAAAAAUUCGGUGGUUGGGGAUGGCAAGGCGGCUUUUCGGCUUGUUGGUGGGGUGGUGGCUUACUAAGGCUUCGAGGGGACGCCGGCCUGUGAGGGUGACCGGCCACAUUGGGCCUGAGGUAGGGCCAAGACUGCUACGUGAGGCAGCAGUGGGGAAUAUUGCACGAUGGGCGGAAGCCUGAUGCAGCAACGCCGCGUGCGGGAUGACGGCUUUCGGGUUGUAAACCGCGUUCGCCUGUGACGAAGCGUGAGUGACGGUAAUGUGUAAAGAAGCACCGGCUAACUACGUG